AUUGGGGCUUGCUCCAAUUAGUUAGUGGCAGACGGGUGAGUAACACGUGGGAAUCUACCCAUCAGUACGGAAUAACUUUUAGAAAUAAAAGCUAAUACCGUAUAUUCUCUACGGAAAAAAGAUUUAUCGCUGAUGGAUGAGCCCGCGUCAGAUUAGGUAGUUGGUGAGGUAACGGCUCACCAAGCCGACGAUCUGUAGCUGGUCUGAGAGGAUGAUCAGCCACACUGGGACUGAGACACGGCCCAGACUCCUACGGGAGGCAGCAGUGGGGAAUAUUGGAC
rnacentral:rRNA from 1 species